GAAUAUCAAAUAGAAAGUUUCCGAUCUUUGGUGAUUCAGCUUAAAUGAUAGACUCAAUAUGUUAGACUUCAUAAAGCUAGGUUACCAAAGCUCGGCGGCCGAAUCUAUCUUUUUUUUUCU
rnacentral:pre_miRNA from 1 species